rnacentral:snoRNA from 1 species
UAUCCGUGAUGAUAAAUAAUCUUUCGCCCCUAACUGAAAGUUUUGGAAACUUCUUAUGUUGAAUGCGAAUUGGUCUUACUGAAGAAAACAU